ACGAAUUGCAAAGCCACCAAUCAGCAUCUUUACUUGCUUCGUUGUUUGAGUUUAUGUAUCUGAACAUACUUUGCUGUGAAUCCUUGUCGCCAAUGCAGCUCCACACAAGGUGGUUGGUGGUCAUGGGUAUCAUGAAUAUGAAGACUUGGACAUUAGCUUGUACCGUCAGAAUCAAGAAUUCCUGAUCCAAUCAGAUGCGGAAUGUGUAAAAUCAAGGCCCUAAGCCCCACAGAAGCAGGCCAAAAGAGUGCUACAGGGAUUCCCAUCUUCCUCGCAACUGGUACUACCCAACCCAUAUUCUCAUCAGCUAUGAUACACGUGAUCUUACAAUCGUUGGACUCGUUUAUAUCCCCUAUUAGUUCCUCCAGAUAACCUGGCAUUUUACUACACAUGGAAUCACAAAGCUCGGGGAAAUGGUUUCGGUCGUCCCCUGGUUCCAUCCCAUCUGGAAUUGAAACUAAAUGAAUUUGAUUCUCCUUGUUACCAUUUUUUGGUAAAGAAGCCAUGACUCUUUCAUGAUUGAAUUUCAGCUAAACAGUGUGAAAAUUUCAUGAGAGGUUUAUUUCUUAUCCAGCCAAACUCCAUGACACUGAAUAUAUAUAUUUGGAUGGAUGACUACAGAGCUGUGACGCCACACUUGCCUUGACACUUUAGAGCUUCAACAAAGUUGGAGAAAUUCUUUGAUGAAGAUCCACCUUCACUCGCACUAUCCAUAGACAAUUUCUUCAGUUCUGCAACCCUCGUCUUUAUUCCUUCAUCAGCAAUCAGUUCUUCUACCCUACUCUUAAUUUCAUUUCUUGAUACAAUCCCGUUUCCAUCUUUGUUUAACCUCAGUCCAGUUUUCCAUACAUCACAUAUAUAUGUGGUGUUAUGGAUCUGAUCAGCAAAGUAGGGCCAACAUAGAAACGGAAUUCCAAACCUUAAACCAUCCAUAGUUGAGUUCCAUCCAGUGUGUCAUAAAACAAGCAACAGAAGAGUGAGCCAAAACUUCCCUUUUAGGUUACCAAUUUACAAUCUUUCCUUUCUCUGUAAAACCAUCAGGGUAUGCAACGGUGGCGUCAGUCAUAUCAGAUCGAACCACCAAUAA